rnacentral:rRNA from 1 species
GGCUACACACGUGCUACAAUGGCCGGUACAAACCGCUGCAAACUCGCAAGAGGGAGCCAAUCGGAAAAAGCCGGUCUCAGUUCGGAUUGGAGUCUGCAACUCGACUCCAUGAAGUUGGAAU